ACUGAGAACGGCCCAGACUCCUACGGGAGGCAGCAGUAGGGAAUUUUCCACAAUGGACGAAAGUCUGAUGGAGCAACGCCGCGUGCAGGAUGAAGGCCCUUGGGUCGUAAACUGCUUUUAUAUGUGACGAUUAUGACGGUAGCAUAUGAAUAAGGAUCGGCUAACUCCGUGCCAGCAGCCGCGGUCAUACGGAGGAUCCAAGCGUUAUCCGGAAUUACUGGGCGUAAAGAGUUGCGUAGGUGGCAUUGUAAGUUGGUAGUGAAAGCGUUCGGCUCAACCGAAUAUACAUUAUCAAAACUACAAAGCUAGAGGAUGAGAGAGGUUAUUGGAAUUCCUAGUGUAGGAGUGAAAUCCGUAGAUAUUAGGAGGAACACCGAUGGCGUAGGCAGAUAACUGGCUCAUUCCUGACACUAAGGCACGAAAGCGUGGGUAGCAAACGGGAUUAGAUACCCCGGUAGUCCACGCUGUAAACGAUGGAUGCUAGCUGUUAUCGGUAUCGACCCCGGUAGUAGCGAAGCUAACGCGUUAAGCAUCCCGCCUGUGGAGUACGGUCGCAAGACUAAAACUCAAAGGAAUUGACGGAAUCGAA
rnacentral:rRNA from 1 species